rnacentral:lncRNA from 1 species
AGACCACCCAAAAAAAUCAUGAACUCGACUCUAGUCUUCUUCUCGUUCUUCCUCAUCUCUCUCUUCUGCUUAUCAGCUUUAGCUGAGACCUCUCAAGCUUCUGAUGGCUCCACCAUCUUGUUCACGACGAUGGGUAGCUCCACUUUCGAGUUCGACAUCUUCACCCUCCACACCAGCCGUCGUCCUCCAUCUCCUUCCGAUGAGCACCGUCUCACCGACGGAAAAUCAAUCAACUUUAACGGCCACUUAGCGUCUCCUUCCCCGGCGCUAAUCUCCCUUCUUCCCAAUACAUCCGGGGUCCAACCACAAGACAAGACUCUUCUCCAUCUCAUCUACGUCACCGAGAGAGACGGCGCGCCUACCUUACACUACGACGUCGUUCACAGCGAUAAUAAAGGAACCAACGUUCAAGUCCCGUUACUGUCAGAGCAACAGAGUGGCAUGAGUGUAAACUCGAUGAAAGACACUCCUGUCUUAACCAACGAGCAUCUUGUCUACGUGUCGACUCACGAGAACUCCGGUAAGCCCAUGGCGAGUUGGGCCGCAGUCUACUCCACCGAGUUAAUAACUAAAGCGACUCAGCGUCUAACGCCUCCCGGAAUCGCUGAUUUCUCUCCGGCCGUGUCUCCGUCGGGGAAGUGGACCGCCGUGGCUUCCUACGGGGAGAAAGGUUGGAGUAUUGUGUCGAAGGAGCUUAGCACGGACAUCUACGUUUUCCUGACUGGAGACGGGACUCAGCGAGUCAAGGUGGUCGAGCUUGGAGGAUGGCCGAGAUGGACCGACGAGUCGACUCUUUAUUUCCACCGCAAAAGCGACGACGGUUGGAUCAGCGUGUACCGUGCGGUUUUACCCAAAACCGGACCGGUUUCAACCAAAACCGUAACGGUUACCCGAGUCACACCUUCUGGUAUUCACGCGUUCACACCAGCCACGUCACCAAACAACAACGACUUCAUCGCUGUUGCGACGAGGAGGCCCGAAUCGGAGAUCCGCCACGUGGAGCUUUUCGAUUUAAAGAAAAACGAGUUCGUCGAGCUGACUCGUCUCGUGUCUCCGAAGAGUCACCAUUUCAACCCGUUUCUUUCCCCUGACUCGUCCCGAGUCGGGUACCAUAGCUGCAGAGGCGACAGAACGAAUCCUCACAAUCUCCUCCAGAGGCUCAAAACCACUUCGGAGGAUCUAUCUCUCUUCAGAUUCGACGGCGCGUUCCCGUCUCUCUCCCCCGAAGGCAAUCGUUUCGCGUUCGUCACGUUCACGGGAGUUUUCGUAGUGAACCAAGACGGUUCCGGUCUACGCCAGAUUCUCCCGCAGGUUGGAUUUGGAACGGUUUGGGAUCCGGUUCGACGCGGGAUCGUGUACACAAGCUCAGAUCCCAGUCUUAAUUUCACAGCUCCCGGCUUAGUAGGGACACAUAAAAUCAAUAUCCUCGCCGUUAACGUCGACGCACGAAACCCUUCAUCCGCCGUUAAAAAACUAACGACUGGCGGCCAAAACAACGCCUUCCCGUGGCCAUCACCCGACGGUAAACGCAUCGUGUUCCGGUCUGACCGCUCCGGUACGAAAAACCUUUACAUUAUGGACGCGGAGAAAGGUGAAGCCGGUGGUUUGUUCAGACUAACCAACGGUAACUGGAACGAUACGAUAGCCACUUGGUCUCCAGACAAUAACUGGAUCGUGUUCGCAUCGAACCGGGAAUAUAUUGGUACGUUGUUGAUGGAUUUGUAUGUGGUUCACCCGGACGGGACCGGUUUAAGGAAGGUGGCGCAAAACUUGACCGGUGGAGUUUCCAUGCAUCCCAUGUUUAGUCCAGAUAGUAAAAGAAUCGUGUUCACUACUACUUACGCUGGUAUCUCAGCAGAGCCUAUUGGUAAUCCGAAGUUUAACGUCGCGAGUAGUGAGAUUUUUACUGUGAAUUUGGAUGGUUCUGAUUUCAUGAGGCUCACGCACAACUCGGUUGAAGAUGGUCCGCCUCUGUGGUUUCCGAAGAUCAAAGCUACUGGUGAUGUAGCAUGGCCCAAGAGGUUUGGGGCUAGCUGCGCUUUUGAAGAUUUCAAGUCGCAGAAUACGACCGUGAAAAUGAAUAAGCGGUCAUUGAUGUGUCCCUCACAAUAGUUUGUUAUUUAAUAACUUACUGUUUGAGUUGAUAACUUUGUUAUAGUGAUAUCUUAUAAAUGUAUUGGAAAUGAAUAAGGAAUAAUAUAGUAUUGUACUUUAGAUUUCUUGAUAUCUUUCGGUGGUAAAUUUAUGAAAGAAUGGCAAUACAUUUUCAAAAACUAGCUAGAAACAUUUCAUGAGAAUUUGAUUAAUUUUCUCGUAUCCAUUAAACUAAAAGUCUGAGGUAGGGAUCAUAGUUACCUCAAACCGCUGGAUAUGUGGAUAGCUAUGAUCUUUGUAUUCAACCGAUACAGAAUGAGAAUAUGUUUAUCAGUAAACUGCGUGGCUGAUAACUGGUUGUUGGGAUAAUGUGCUACAUUUGUAUUAGUGCAUAUGUUCAUUUGGGACGGUGUUAGACUUUUGGCUGUUUUUCUUUAUAAAACUAGCUAUUUAGAAAAAGAAGAUGGAACCAGAGUAUAUUCAAAUUGAUUGUCAUUCUCGUUUACAUUGAUUAUUGUCUUAGAAUGGCUUCUAAUUUCGUAUGUGUAUUUUUAAUGAAACCACAAUAAUAUUCAAAUUCAUAUAUCUUGGUUACAAUUCAAUUAGAUACCCAGUCAUAUAUGGGUAUUGGGUAUCAUCUAGCAUCUUCAGUGAUAGGGAUGCACCGAUGCAAGUUAACCAGCCAAGUCUUGACGUCUUAUACCAAUUGGAUUGGAAAUAAAAUACAAGUCCGAAGGGGUGUCAAACUGAGUUAUAGCUCAUAAACUAGUCCAGUUCAGCUCGAUUUUUCAUGAGCAUGAGAGCUGUUUUUUUUUAGGCUCAUUUAGAAAAUGAGCGUAAUGAUCGAGCUUAAAUUAAAUCACGAGUUAUAUGAACGAUCUUUAAUGAACAUGAACGAACUCAUGAGCUUGGUCGUUUUUAUACUUUAUAUAUAUAUAUAUUUGUGUGUGUGUGAAUUUUAUUUUUCUUAUAUAAGAAAAUAUAGUUUCUAUAUAAAUCAUAUCUAUCUUCUAAUUAAAAUUAAAAUGUAAAAUCAAAAAGCUUUAAAUACAUAUAAGAAUGUAAAAUAAUAUUGAUAUCAAUCCUCAUAUCAUAUAUCUUUAGAAUUAAAAUGUAAAACAAAAUAUUCCUAAGACUCUCAUGUGGAAUAUAUAUGCAACGUAGAUGGUAUCAUGUCGUAGCGAUAUCUGGGUAAAUCAUUUCGUUAUUAAUGUUAUCUUUAUCGAUGUAUCUAAGCCAGGAUUAUCUAAAUGUGUUAGAAGGAUUUGUACCACUGCGACAUGAUACCAUCCAGGUUGUAUCCAAACCAUAAGAGUCCACGAAACAACUAGACAUCCAAUAAUUGGAGAGUGGGAUCUUGUAGGCAUUUUUUGUUCCCUUCGGAGCCAUACAGAAAGAGAUCAUAUUUUCAGUAGCAAGCAUCUUUCAAACGACGACAAGGCAGAUCCGUCAAAUCACAUAGCAGUUAAUCUAGCCUAGUUUAAUGUCAUAAUAAUUGUACACUGUUCAUGCUUCUUUAGUAUAUACUCACUCUGUUGUAUUUUAAUUAUCAUUUUAGAUUUAAACGCACAGAUUAAAAAUAUAUUUAAUUUUGUAUAUUUACUAAAAGAAAACAAUAUUACCAAUACAAGUAACCACAUUUUAACCAAUAGAAAAAUAGAUUAAAAUAUAAAGUCAAUAAAUUUUGCGUUGAAACUAUAAAAUGACACUUAUUAUGAAACAAAUUUUUUACUCUAAAACGACAUUUAAAUUGAAACAGAAAAAUAUAGUUUGAUACUUAUCCUAAUUCAAGUAAGACAUGCUUGAUGAUUUGUGUGAUUAACCUCUGUUUAUCUAUAAUUGAAUAUUUAAGAUAAAAUCUAAAAGAUAUACACAUUUAUUUGGAUUGAAAUCUGAUGAUCUAUUACUAAAUUUUACUGUUAAUACUGCUAAUAUUCCUAGAUUUUAUUUGCCUCAAAUCAUUACUUCCCCGAUAAUGUCAAGAUCCUAUCCUGUAAUGUUCCCAGUGUAUUUUCUCAUCCAUGACCUUCAAAUUCAGAUUGACAUUUAUCCAAAACUACCAAUCAUAUCAAUUUCAUCCCAAACAAACAAGGAAUUUGAAACUUUUUUUAUCACAUAAAAAGGAAAUAGAAUCAAAUAAAUAAACUUAAAAGGCAAGGAAUCUUCGUAUUUAGUUAAUAGAAUAUAAAUUUCCCGAAUUAGUCAAAAGCUUUAAAAAUAAAAGUGUUAUCCACGUCAGCACUUACAACUAUUAUAUAAUGCUCCCGCCAAUUGCCAAAUCCCAAACAUUCAGACCACCCAAAAAAAUCAUGAACUCGACUCUAGUCUUCUUCUCGUUCUUCCUCAUCUCUCUCUUCUGCUUAUCAGCUUUAGCUGAGACCUCUCAAGCUUCUGAUGGCUCCACCAUCUUGUUCACGACGAUGGGUAGCUCCACUUUCGAGUUCGACAUCUUCACCCUCCACACCAGCCGUCGUCCUCCAUCUCCUUCCGAUGAGCACCGUCUCACCGACGGAAAAUCAAUCAACUUUAACGGCC